GGCCGUGUAGCGUAAUGGUUAACGCGCUAGUUUCCGGUGAUGAGGUCAGCUAGAGAUUCUGGGUUCGAGUCCCAGCAUGGUCG
rfam:Moniliophthora roreri MCA 2997 sctg_0014_0004, whole genome shotgun sequence.